GCCCCCGUGGCGCAAUGGACUAGCGCGUUGGACUUCUAAUUCAAAGGUUGUGCGUUCGAGUCACACCGGGGGUG
rnacentral:tRNA from 1 species